AUACGGAGGGUGCAAGCGUUAUUCGGAAUCACUGGGCGUAAAGGACGCGUAGGCGGGUUGGCAAGUCAGAUGUGAAAUCCUACAGCUUAACUGUAGAACUGCAUUUGAAACUGCUAACCUAGAGUAUGGGAGGGGGAGAUGGAAUUAGUGGUGUAAGGGUAAAAUCCGUAGAUAUCACUAGGAAUACCGAAAGCGAAGGCGUUCUCCUGGAACAUAACUGACGCUAAGGCGUGAAAGCGUGGGGAGCAAACAGGAUUAGAAACCCUAGUAGUCC
rnacentral:rRNA from 1 species